rnacentral:lncRNA from 1 species
UUCUCACUCUGUGAAUGUCUUUUUCUGCAUAUAAUCAUCAUGAAUGUAUGCAUGUGAAUGUGUACGCACAUACAUGUGGAGGCUGAAGGACAAUCUGGUGUGGCUGCUUGUAUUGCGAAUGCUAAUUAUGUUCCCCAUAAAACUGCAAGGAGCUUCUGGGAACCUGCCCCCAGUUGGUUCUGAUUGGUAAAUAGAGAUGCCAGCAGUCAAUAGCUAGGAAGGACAGACAGAGGCGGGAUUUUAGGACCCUGCCCCCUCUUGGGACCGGAAGCAGAGAGGAGAAGGAGGAGAUCCAUCAGGUUGGAAGAGUGUGGAGUGACGCCAUGCUUGAGAAGAGAGCAGGACAAAAGAGCACGGCCCUGAGGGUUGCCCAACAGGGUCUAGAGCGGCCAAGAUAGAACAUAGAAUUCAGGCGGCAGAGCACCUUGGCUGAACUGUCUUUGAGGACUUUCAUUGGGGCUCCAGCUGAGCACAUCACAAGGUCGAAGUUCACCAGUGACGUCAGUGUCAGUCAGUGUCACGGGGCACCGGUCACCAGCCGUUUGGUGUCUGUGGUCCCAAAGGCUCUGGUGUUUGAAUCCUUGGGCACCAAUUGGUUGUUGGAGGAAGUACAUCACUGAGGGUGGGGCUUGGGAGUUUCUAGCCUUCCCUCAUUUCCGGUCUGUUUUCUCUGCUUCAUGCUUGCAUUUGUGGGUAUAAGCAUGUAGCUUCUAGCUCCUGCCAUUAUGCCUGCAGCUCCCGGCCAUGCCUCCUGCCACAAUGGUUUUAACCCUGUGGAACCAUGGGCUCAAUUUUAAAUCUUUCCAAUCUAGAGUUACCUUGGUCAUGGUGGUUUAUUACAGCCAUGGGGAAGGAGUAGUUUCUAUCCCAUUUCCUGUCUCUCAGGAGCCAGGAGAAGAGGGACCUGAACAAGAGAGAGAGAAAGAGAGGAGAGGCUGUGGAGAUCUCGAGGACAGAUUCAGCUAGCCAUGACAUGCUGUCUGUGUUGUGGUAGUAAUGUUCUGAAAAUAAUCGUUUUUGUUGUUGAUAAAGCCUUCUGUAAAAUUUCAUGCUGAAGAUCCCAGGAGUGAGCAUCCAGUUCCCCUCAUAGUAGUAGAGAGAUGCCUCGAAACACACACACACACACACACACACACA